AUAAGCCUGUGAUGGAUGUUAGUUAUCCCUGUCUGAAAAUUUCAGCUGAGGGAAAAUACUAUGUUCUGAGGCUUAG